rnacentral:rRNA from 1 species
UACGUAGGAUCCAAGCGUUGUCCGGAUUUACUGGGUGUAAAGGGUGCGCAGGCGGGCUCAUAAGUCAGGAGUGAAAUCUCGGCGCUCAACGCCGAAACGUCUUUUGAUACUAUGAGCCUUGAAUCAGCGAGAGAUGUGCGGAAUUCCGAGUGUAGCAGUGAAAUGUGUAGAUAUUCGGAAGAACACCAGUGGCGAAGGCAGCACGUUGGCGCUCGAUUGACGCUCAGGCACGAAAGCAUGGGGAUCAAACAGG